CGGGACGUGGCGCAGCUUGGCAGCGCGCCUGCUUUGGGAGCAGGAGGUCGCGGGUUCGAAUCCCGCCGUCCCGA
rnacentral:tRNA from 1 species